GAACGCUGGCGGCAGGCCUAACACAUGCAAGUCGAGCGGUAGAGAGAAGCUUGCUUCUCUUGAGAGCGGCGGACGGGUGAGUAAUGCCUAGGAAUCUGCCUGGUAGUGGGGGAUAACGUUCGGAAACGGACGCUAAUACCGCAUACGUCCUACGGGAGAAAGCAGGGGACCUUCGGGCCUUGCGCUAUCAGAUGAGCCUAGGUCGGAUUAGCUAGUUGGUGAGGUAAUGGCUCACCAAGGCGACGAUCCGUAACUGGUCUGAGAGGAUGAUCAGUCACACUGGAACUGAGACACGGUCCAGACUCCUACGGGAGGCAGCAGUGGGGAAUAUUGGACAAUGGGCGAAAGCCUGAUCCAGCCAUGCCGCGUGUGUGAAGAAGGUCUUCGGAUUGUAAAGCACUUUAAGUUGGGAGGAAGGGCAGUUACCUAAUACGUGAUUGUUAGGACGUUACCGACAGAAUAAGCAC
rnacentral:rRNA from 1 species